UUCCACUCCGAUUCGGUUGUGCUUUAUAAAUUGGUCUAACAGAAUCGCACUUCUAACUAAGUAGCAAUGAAGCUCUUUCUACAUCUGCUUCUCUUUACUCUAAUACUAUACUACGUCUCCGACGAUGAGAAGAUAAAUCGAAUUUUAAAAGUAAAAAGAAAACUUGUUACCAGUUAAAAUGUAAAAUUUGUAAUGAUUACUAAUCAUUACAUUUAAAUAACUGGUUUGGUUUUACUUUUCCCAAGACCAUUUUUUAAAUAAAUAUUGUUUGUUUA
rnacentral:sRNA from 1 species